rnacentral:rRNA from 1 species
UACCAGCACCCCGAGUGGUCGGGACGAUUAUUGGGCGUAAAGCGUCCGCAGGUGGACAUACAAGUCUGCUGUCAAAGUGCAGAGCUUAACUCUGUAAAGGCGGUGGAAACUGUAGGUCUUGAGUAUGGUAGGGGUAGAGGGAAUUCCCGGUGUAGCGGUGAAAUGCGUAGAUAUCGGGAAGAACACCAGUGGCGAAAGCGCUCUACUGGGCCAUAACUGACACUGAGGGACGAAAGCUAGGGGAGCGAAAGGG